UGAUCCCUAGGGUAAUGGUAACCCACCUUUUUUUGGUAGAGGUCAUUCCGUGUUCGAAUCACGGGGGAUCAG